rnacentral:miRNA from 1 species
UGGGAUCUCAUGUACUCUUAUA